CCUACGGGAGGCAGCAGUGGGGAAUAUUGCACAAUGGGCGAAAGCCUGAUGCAGCAACGCCGCGUGAAGGAAGAAGGAUUUCGGCACGUAAACUUCUAUCAGCAGGGACGAAAAAAAUGACAGUACCUGAAUAAGAACCCCCGGCUAACUACGUGCCAGCAGCCGCGGUAAUACGUAGGGGGCAAGCGUUAUCCGGAAUUACUGGGUGUAGAGGGUGAGUAGGCGGCAUGGUAAGCCAGAUGUGAAAGCCUAUGGCUUAACCAGGGGAUUGCAUUUGGAACUAUUCAGCUAGAGUACAGGAGAGGAAAGCGGAAUUCCUAGUGUAGCGGUGAAAUGCGUAGAUAUUAGGAAGAACACCAGUGGCGAAGGCGGCUUUCUGGACUGAAACUGACGUUGAGGCACGAAAGCGUGGGGAGCGAACAGGAUUAGAUACCCCAGUAGUC
rnacentral:rRNA from 1 species